rnacentral:rRNA from 1 species
GACGAACGCUGGCGGCGUGCUUAACACAUGCAAGUCGAACGGAAAGGCUCAGCUUUUGUCGUGUGCUCGAGUGGCGAACGGGUGAGUAACACGUGAGUAACCUGCCCUUGACUUAGGGAUAACUUCAGGAAACUGGGGCUAAUACCGGAUCGGAGCUCCUGCUGCAUGGUGGGGGUUGGAAAGUUUCGGCGGUUGGGGAUGGACUCGCGGCUUAUCAGCUUGUUGGUGGGGUAGUGGCUUACCAAGGCUUUGACGGGUAGCCGGCCUGAGAGGGUGGCCGGCCACGUUGGGACUGAGAUACGGCACAGACUCCAACGGGAGGGAGCGGUGGAGAAUAUUGCACAAUGGGCGGGAGCAUGAUGCAGCAACGCCGCGUGGGGGAUGACGGCCUUCGGGUUGUAAACCGCAUUCGCCUGAGACGAAGCGUGAGUGACGGUAAUGGGUAAAGAAGCACCGGCUAACUACGUG